rnacentral:sRNA from 2 species
CCCAUUCUUCUGCUCUAGAUGAUGUUGCACAGAUCAACAUUUGACCCUGCAAGGUGAUUGGCUGCGGUAAAAGUCUAUAGUGGUAGAUCAAAUCACACCACCAUGGGCCAUGCUCUUUGAGAAAGAUAUCCGUACACUGGAGGUUGCAAAUGUUGAUUGCGGCGGAAAUAAAGUUGCCUGGAGGUUGCGCAGAACUUGAGCCGCAUUUGGUCAUGUCUAUAUACAACUUACCAAAUCACCAUAGAUGAUUACCAUCUGAAAUUCCGUAUCAUUAACCCUUUUAACUACAAGUUUACAUCCGGA